rnacentral:rRNA from 1 species
UACGAAGGGUGCAAGCGUUAUUCGGAUUAAUUGGGCGUAAAGGGUGCGUAGACGGUAUGCUAAGUCCGCUGUUAAAUUCCCCAGCUCAACUGGGGGCCAGCAGUGGAUACUGACGUACUAGAGGAUGGAAGAGAGAAGUGGAAUUCCCGGAGUAGCGGUAAAAUGCGUAGAUCUCGGGAGGAACACCAAUGGCGAAGGCAGCUUCUUGGUCCAUAUCUGACGUUGAGGCACGAAAGCGUGGGGAGCAAAC